rnacentral:sRNA from 1 species
GACUAAACCCGGCAACAGUGAAAAUCCUUUUUGUUGCCCCUUCGAUAAUUUCAGUGAUCAUGGCAACAAAAAGAUUGUAGCGAAUGGCGGGGCUGCAC